rnacentral:rRNA from 1 species
GAUGAACGCUAGCGGGAGGCUUAACACAUGCAAGUCGAGGGGUAAAUGGCAGCAAUGCUAUGAGACCGGCGAACGGGUGCGUAACGCGUAUGUAACCUACCCUGUACAGGGGGAUAACCCGGAGAAAUUCGGACUAAUAUCCCAUAACAAUAUCCGGGGGCAUCUUUGGAUAUUUAAAGUUCCGGCGGUACGGGAUGGGCAUGCGUAACAUUAGCUAGUUGGUAAGGUAACGGCUUACCAAGGCUUUGAUGUUUAGGGGUCCUGAGAGGGUGGUCCCCCACACUGGUACUGAGACACGGACCAGACUCCUACGGGAGGCAGCAGUGAGGAAUAUUGGUCAAUGGGCGCAAGCCUGAACCAGCCAUCCCGCGUGCAGGAAGACGGCGCUAUGCGUUGUAAACUGCUUUUCCAGGGAGAGAAACUUGCGCACGUGUUGCGCAAUUGACGGUACCCUGGGAAUAAGCAUCGGCUAACUCCGUG